UAAUGAAAUUAUAAAAACUUCAACCUAAGUAUGCGUUCCUUUUCAGCCGCCAACCCCAUUACUCCCUUUUCCCGUUUCUUUCUUUUACAACGUUCUCUCUUCUUCACGUGAACGGAGCAAAUCAACGGAAUCGCUGGCUAUAUAGCCCGAUGCCUUCUCUCUUUUCAGGGUAUAUUUAAUCUAUUGAAUGCAAGAAGAUGAAGGAUUCAAAAUUGAUACAAAGAGUAAAAUUACUUCAUCCUUGGCUACAGAGAUCAAAUACUUUGAAUUUAGUUUUGUUUUGAUGUGGAACCCUUCAAAAUUUUAUAGAUCGUAGUUAAAUAACCGAUUGUACUUUAGAUAGACAAUUGUAUAUUUUACAAUUAAUUUUUAAAACUAUCUAGAUGACAAUUUGUAUAAUAAAGUGAUAUUCAAAAUUUAUUACUGUA